rnacentral:rRNA from 1 species
GAUGAACGCUGGCGGCGUGCCUAAUACAUGCAAGUCGAGCGAACGGACGAGAAGCUUGCUUCUCUGAUGUUAGCGGCGGACGGGUGAGUAACACGUGGAUAACCUACCUAUAAGACUGGUAUAACUUCGGGAAACCGGAGCUAAUACCGGAUAAUAUUUUGAACCGCAUGGUUCAAAAGUGAAAGACGGUCUUGCUGUCACUUAUAGAUGGAUCCGCGCUGCAUUAGCUAGUUGGUAAGGUAACGGCUUACCAAGGCAACGAUGCAUAGCCGACGUGAGAGGGUGAUAGGCCACCCUGGAACUGAGACACGGUCCAGACUCCUACGGGAGGCAGCAGUAGGGAAUCUUCCGCAAUGGGCGAAAGCCUGACGGAGCAACGCCGCGUGAGUGAUGAAGGUCCUCGGAUCGUAAAACUCUGUUAUUAGGGAAGAACAUAUGUGUAAGUAACUGUGCACAUCUUGACGGUAACUAAUCAGAAAGCAACGGCUAACUACGUG